GCCGAGGCCCGGGCGCCCGCGGCCCCCAGCCCCAAGGAGAGCCUGCAGCCCAAGGCCGAGCCCCACCUCACCUUCCCCAGGUCGUUCAAGGUGCCACCGCCAGCCCCGGCACGCUCCUCGUCCAUCCCGGUGCAGGAGGGGCCGGCAGGAGCCCGUGCCCAGGCAGCCUCACGCCCGGCCGCCCCUGCCGCCCUGCUUCACCAUCAGACCUGCGGGCAAGGCGCGGCCGGGAGAGGACGAGCAGAGGAGCUCCGGGCUCAGACAGGGCCUUGGGAAGCCGGCUGUGCCCCCUCCACUGAGCCCCAAGCCGGGCACAGGGCUCAGCCAAGGUGCGAAUCCCACUGGCCGCCGCUCCCCACUGCCGGGCUCCGAGGGGGAGAGGAUUCCCCAGCUGAAAACAGCCGGGAGAGACUCCCCUCCAAAAUCUGAACCUCUCACUGCGAACGACCUGGAUCUCCCCCCUCCGGACUACCCGAGCUGCGAGGACGACUGGAAGGAUGCCAACAACCUGAACAAGCUGCGGGAUGAGCUCUCGGCCCUGCUGCGCUUCCCGCGCCGCGAGGAGAGGCCGCUGGAGAAGCCGGCUGCUCCCCAGCCUGUGGACAGUGGUCCCAGCCGUGCUGGCAGCCGUGAGCCAGGGCUCAGCGAGCCCCAGCUCGCCAGAAAGGACACAGGGUUAUCCAAGGGAGGGGAGAGUGAGAAGAAAGAGGCACCCAGCAGUCCCCCCAGCACCAGUGAGGGCUCUCCCAGCACUGCAGUCACCGCCCCGGACAGCAACCCUGACACACAGCCCCGCAGUGUGAUGACGAUCAGGAACGAGCUGGAGGCUGUGCUGUCUCUGAAGAAAGAGGGGAAACCUGCCUCAGGGCUCAGCAGCCAGAAGCAGGGUGUGGAAAAUGGCAUCAGCACCCCACAGGUGAGGAAGAGCCCCCCUGACACGAGUGACUCAGUGGUGCCAAAGCCGGUCCCCAGCCCGCUCCCAGCCCCGGUGGCUGCUGUGGAGAAGGACGAGACAGACCACGAGGACCAUCCUGCUCCUGCUGCUGGCAAGGUCACAGAGGAUGUGAGCCCUGCUCCUGGGUCCCUCAGCAGCAGUGUGAGUCCCCCAGACCCACCCCAGAGACCGGCAGAGGAGCCCCCAGCUACCAGCCCCCCCUCAGCCCCUGUGUCCCCUGCACAGAGCCCAGCACCACAGCCCAGCUCGGCCAUCUUCCAGUACAAAGUGCACCGGGCUGGGGCCAGCGUGCUGACAGCCAACAGGCCUGCCCACGGCACCCCGCACUACAGGGGACCCUCCAACACCUUCACGGUCCGGCCUGGCACACGCCAGCCCAUCUCCUACGCCUACCAGAGCCACCGGUAGGCCGAGCUCAGGGCCGCCCCACUGGCGGCCGGCUGGGAGGGGCGAGAAGGUGCCUGGGUCGGUCCCCUCCUCCUCUACGGGCACCAGGGACGGUCCCAACCCAGCCUGGAAAUGCACUGGCUUGGAACUGCUGAUGGGGAAUGAGCCCGAGACUGGACUUUUCUCAAAGACUGCCAUGGAGAUUAGUUACUGCGGAGGGCAGGCCGCUGCCCUGUCAC
ensembl:lncRNA